rnacentral:rRNA from 1 species
GAUGAACGCUAGCGGCAGGCUUAAUACAUGCAAGUCGAGGGGCAGCAUGAUUGUAGCAAUACAAUUGAUGGCGACCGGCAAACGGGUGCGGAACACGUACACAACCUUCCAACAAGUGGGGGAUAGCCCAGAGAAAUUUGGAUUAAUACCCCGUAACAUAGCGAUGUGGCAUCACAUUGCUAUUAUAGAUUUUUCGCUUGUUGAUGGGUGUGCGGCUGAUUAGAUAGUUGGCGGGGUAACGGCCCACCAAGUCUACGAUCAGUAGCUGAUGUGAGAGCAUGAUCUGCCACACGGGCACUAAGACACGGGCCCGACUCCUACGGGAGGCAGCAGUAAGGAAUAUUGGACAAUGGACGCAAGUCUGAUCCAGCCAUGCCGCGUGAAGGAUUAAGGUCCUCUGGAUUGUAAACUUCUUUUAUAAGGGACGAAAAAAGGCUUUUCUAAGUCGUCUGACGGUACCUUAUGAAUAAGCACCGGCUAACUCCGUGCCAGCCGCCGCCGUAACAC